AUACGUAGGGGGCGAGCGUUGUCCGGAAUGAUUGGGCGUAAAGGGCGCGUAGGCGGCCCGGUAAGUCUGGAGUGAAAGUCCUGUUUUUAAGAUGGGAAUUGCUUUGGAUACUGUCGGGCUUGAGUGCAGGAGAGGUAAGUGGAAUUCCCAGUGUAGCGGUGAAAUGCGUAGAGAUUGGGAGGAACACCAGUGGCGAAGGCGACUUACUGGACUGUAACUGACGCUGAGGCGCGAAAGUGUGGGGAGCAAACAGGAUAGAUACCCUGGUAGUCCACACUGUAAACGAUGAAUGCUAGGUGUAGGGGGUAUCGACCCCUUCUGUGCCGCAGUCAACACAAUAAGCAUUCCGCCUGGGGAGUACGGCCGCAAGGUUGAAACUCAAAGGAAUUGACGGGG
rnacentral:rRNA from 1 species